rnacentral:rRNA from 7 species
AAACCAACAGGGAUUGCCCCAGUAACGGCGAGUGAAGCGGCAACAGCUCAAAUUUGAAAUCUGGCUCUCGGGCCCGAGUUGUAAUUUGUAGAGGAUGCUUUUGGUGAGGUGCCUUCCGAGUUCCCUGGAACGGGACGCCAUAGAGGGUGAGAGCCCCGUCUGGUUGGACGCCGAACCUCUGUAAAGCUCCUUCGACGAGUCGAGUAGUUUGGGAAUGCUGCUCUAAAUGGGAGGUAUAUGUCUUCUAAAGCUAAAUACCGGCCAGAGACCGAUAGCGCACAAGUAGAGUGAUCGAAAGAUGAAAAGAACUUUGAAAAGAGAGUUAAACAGUACGUGAAAUUGUUGAAAGGGAAGCGCUUGUGACCAGACUUGGGCUUGGUUGAUCAUCCGGGGUUCUCCCCGGUGCACUCUUCCGGCCCAGGCCAGCAUCAGUUCGCCCUGGGGGACAAAGGCUUCGGGAACGUGGCUCUCUCCGGGGAGUGUUAUAGCCCGUUGCGUAAUACCCUGUGGCGGACUGAGGUUCGCGCAUUCGCAAGGAUGCUGGCGUAAUGGUCAUCAGUGAC